rnacentral:rRNA from 1 species
UACGUAGGAGACGAGCGUUGUCCGGAGUUACUGGGCGUAAAGGGUGCGCAGGCGGCCCUGCGCGUCGCGAGUGAAAUCUCCCGGCUCAACUGGGAGGGUGGUCGCGAGACGGCAGGGCUUGAGGCUCGGUGAGGGGCGUGGAAUUCCGGGUGGAGCGGUGAAAUGCGUAGAGAUCCGGAGGAACACCAACGGCGUAGGCAGCGCCCUAGACGAGACCGACGCUCAGGCACGAAAGCGCGGGGAGCGAACAGG